rnacentral:ncRNA from 2 species
GCCGAUCGCUAGGGGAGCCACGUGCUGAGAGGAAGGCAUAGCCUUCGACCCUUAGAACCUGAACUGGGUAAUGCCAGCGAAGGGAAGCGAAGCCUAACUCCU